rnacentral:rRNA from 1 species
CGGGGGGUCCUAGCGUUGUUCGGAAUCAUUGGGCGUAAAGCGUGUGCAGGUGGUUUGGUAAGUUGGAUGUGAAAGCCCCGGGCUUAACCCGGGAAGUGCAUUCAAAACUACCAAACUUGAGCAGGGAAGAGGGUCGUGGAAUUCCAGGUGUAGUGGUGAAAUACGUAGAUAUCUGGAGGAACACCGGCGGCGAAGGCGGCGACCUGGUCCUAUACUGACACUCAUACACGAAAGCGUGGGGAUCAAACAGGAUUAGAUACCCUGGUAGUCCACGCCGUAAACGAUGGAUACUUGGUGUUGAAGGUAUUGACCCCUUCAGUGCCGUAGCUAACGCGUUAAGUAUCCCGCCUGGGGAGUACGGUCGCAAGAUUA